GCGCUCUCAGAAUGUUGAUGGAGGUGAUGAUUGCAGGGGCGAUGCUUCUGGAGAAUAGCUCCCCCAUCUUCCCCAGGGCCUGGGCAGAGAGAGGUGGAGCUCGGAGUCCCCCCAGUCCUCCCGCGGGUGCUGGCGUCUGCAGCGCCAUCGGGACGGGAUCCACGGCGCAGCUCCCUCCUCCAGAGGCCGAAGGCUCAGCCUCCAGUUUCGUGCAGGGUGAUCACCUUUCCAGGGCAAUACAAGCACUUCCCAAGAGCAGCUGGUGAAGAUGGCGCAGAAGCAAGGACAAGGGUGCAGUGAAAAGUUUGGUGCAUCGAUCCAGCUUCCGGACACGUGAUCUUCUACCCUGCCCCACGGCAAGAAGAGUUUGGUGAUUUUGCUGCUCUGCUCUCUCAAGGGUGUUGCAGGCUGCGUAGCAGGGAGUGAAGCCCUUGUCGCUGCUCAUCAGACACUUUCCUACAGAAUUCUCCCUGCAGUGAUAAAAUUAGAGUGGUGUUAGUGAGCUGCCAAGUAGAGCAGGACAGCACGAAGACUGAACGUGUAAGAAGAUGUGGGGUGCAAUGGAGAACCUGGCAGGAGCAUCCGACGCACACGUGCAUGAGUUUUGCUUUUUGCUUGGAUUGAAACUCAAAAGUUGUAAAGGAAUUUGGGAAUGAGAUGGGACGUUUCAGAAGAAGAGGAAGGAGGAGAAGAAGUUGUUGUUACAGUCCUGGCAAAAUCCUUUGUUCUAGCUAAUAAAAGAAGUUA